rnacentral:rRNA from 1 species
GACCAGACUCCUACGGGAGGCAGCAGUGGGGAAUAUUGCACAAUGGGGGAAACCCUGAUGCAGCGACGCCGCGUGAGUGAAGAAGUAUUUCGGUAUGUAAAGCUCUAUCAGCAGGGAAGAAAAUGACGGUACCUGACUAAGAAGCCCCGGCUAACUACGUGCCAGCAGCCGCGGUAAUACGUAGGGGGCAAGCGUUAUCCGGAUUUACUGGGUGUAAGGGGAGCGUAGACGGUAGAGCAAGUCUGAAGUGAAAGGCCGCGGCUCAACUGCGGGACUGCUUUGGAAACUGUUCAACUGGAGUGCUGGAGGGGUAAGCGGAAUUCCUAGUGUAGCGGUGAAAUGCGUAGAUAUUAGGAGGAACACCAGUGGCGAAGGCGGUCUGCUGGACAGCAACUGACGCUGAGGCGCGAAAGCGUGGGGAGCAAACAGGAUUAGAUACCCCAGUA